GAAGCAAAGGCACAUUUAAAAAAUGUAAAUAUAGAAAUAGUUAAGAUAAGCAUUUUAAUCAUUUAAAACCUUAGUAAAUAGUCAUGGCUGAAGCCGCAGCAUGUUUAUUGCUGUACAAAUACAAGGCGGUAUGUACUAAGCAGACUGGUACAAUUUUUAGCACUCCAUGUGGCGUCUGUUGCAUCGUUUGGAUGAUCAGAUCAACACAGAUAUUCAUAGAUGGCGAGAUAAGGGACCAUGAUGUCCUAGACGAGGAUGAACAGUCACUCAUUGAUCACUCGCGACACGCAGAGAAAUCAGUUCGUACUGCUGCUAGCUUUGACUUCAUCUAGCAUCGGAAGCUGAACCGCCAUAUGAUCCUCUACUGCACUGUGCUUGCCUCGGCCAAGAAAGACAGUGAAAGCCAGCGGAAACGCAAAAGAUGAGGGAAUAAGGCACUCGCAAGUAUCCCGCAGUAGCGGGAAUGGAAAAUCAAAUCCGAUUUCGUUAUCAUGGAGCUGAAGGAUGAGGAUCUUGCAGCUCUCCAAACACACACAUUGGCCGAUGUGAUAGCGGUGUCGUACCCCAACAUUUAUCUCAACUUCUUGGUGGCCAACUGGAGUGUGAGCGCGACGUCAUUGCAACCAUCCUCCCGCAGAUUUGGUCGCAAGAUAUGCUAAGGAUACACAAUGUACACAAACAUGUCCUUUAUGUCCUUGCAUCCGGAAGGAUUGAAAUCCAUCAAGGACCUCAAGGACUGCAGGAUACGUCUGUUUUACCUGAAAUUAGGCCAUAAUUUUUAAAAUAAAAGGACCCCCUGAAAGAAAAUGCAUAAGUUCCAUCAGCAUUAUCCGAGCAUUGUGAAAGUAGCUACACUUUUUAUUGAUAUACAAAAUCUACAUAUUUUUUUAA